rnacentral:rRNA from 1 species
GCUGGCGGCACGCCUAACACAUGCAAGUCGAACGCAGUAGCAAUACUGAGUGGCAAACGGGUGAGUAUAAUGUGGGAAUCUGCCUUUUGGUCUGGAAUAACACGGGGAAACUUGUGCUAAUACCGGAUAAGCCUUUACAGGGAAAGUUUUAAUGCCGAAAGAUGAGCCUGCACUUGAUUAGCUAGUUGGUAAGGUAAAAGCUUACCAAGGCAACGAUCAAUAGCUGUUCUUAGAGGAAGACCAGCCACAUUGGGACUGAGACACGGCCCAGACUCCUACGGGAGGCAGCAGUGGGGAAUCUUGCACAAUGGGGGAAACCCUGAUGCAGCGAUGCCGCGUGAGUGAAGAAGGCCCUUGGGUUGUAAAACUCUUUCGUCGGGGAAGAAAAUGACUGUACCCGAAUAAGAAGGUCCGGCUAACUUCGUGCCAGCAGCCGCGGUAAUACGAAGGGACCUAGCGUAG